GCACCUGGCGCCUUCUUCGGGGCUCCGCGUCGCCACGACAACCGGCCUCGCCGCGGCGCCUCUGCCAUGGUUUUCUCAAAUAAUGAUGAAGCCCUUAUUAACAAAAAAUUACCCAAAGAACUUCUGUUAAGAAUAUUUUCUUUCUUGGACAUAGUUACUUUGUGUCGAUGUGCACAAGUUUCCAAGGCAUGGAAUGUUUUAGCUCUGGAUGGAAGCAAUUGGCAAAGAAUAGACCUUUUUAACUUUCAAACGGAUAUAGAGGGUCGUGUUGUGGAAAAUAUAUCGAAAAGGUGUGGUGGGUUCCUGAGACAACUUAGUCUGAGAGGAUGUCUUGGUGUUGGAGACUCCUCUUUGAAGACUUUUGCACAGAACUGUAGAAACAUUGAACACUUAAAUCUAAAUGGCUGCACAAAGAUUACUGACAGCACAUGUUACAGUCUUAGCAGAUUCUGUUCCAAGCUGAAACAUCUGGAUCUGACAUCUUGCGUAGCCAUCACAAACAGCUCUUUGAAAGGUUUAAGUGAGGGUUGCAGAAAUCUGGAACAUUUGAAUCUUUCCUGGUGUGAUCAGAUUACGAAGGAUGGUAUUGAAGCACUGGUGAAAGGGUGUAGUGGACUAAAAGCUCUAUUUCUUAGAGGUUGCACACAGUUAGAAGAUGAAGCACUGAAACACAUUCAAAACCACUGUCAUGAACUUGUAAUCCUGAAUUUACAGUCUUGUACACAAAUCUCAGAUGAAGGCAUUGUAAAAAUCUGUAGAGGAUGCCAUAGACUUCAGUCACUGUGUGUUUCUGGCUGUAGCAACCUUACAGAUGCUUCUCUCACAGCACUUGGUCUAAACUGUCCAAGGCUGAAGAUUUUGGAAGCUGCAAGAUGUUCACAUCUUACAGAUGCUGGUUUUACCCUUUUAGCACGGAACUGCCAUGAGCUGGAAAAGAUGGACUUGGAAGAAUGUGUUCUGAUAACAGACAGCACAUUGAUACAGCUUUCUAUUCACUGUCCUAAGCUACAAGCACUGAGCUUGUCUCACUGUGAAUUGAUCACUGAUGAUGGAAUUCUUCAUCUGAGCAACAGUACGUGUGGUCAUGAGAGGCUGCAAGUACUAGAGCUUGAUAACUGUCUUCUCAUAACUGAUGUGACUCUGGAACACCUGGAGAACUGCCACAACUUGGAGAGAAUUGAGCUGUAUGACUGUCAGCAAGUCACACGGGCUGGAAUCAAAAGAAUCAGAGCUCAUCUACCUCAUGUGAAAGUUCACGCUUACUUUGCUCCGGUGACUCCCCCUCCUUCAGUAGGAGGAGGUGGACAGCGCCUCUGCAGAUGCUGUAUUAUUCUUUGACAUAUCCCGCACAAAAAGGCUUAGUCAUCUCUGAAACAGAACUAAAUGGAUCUUUAAAGAGUCAUCUAAGGAUGACUUUGGAAGUAGUUUUGGACUGUCUCAAAAGAAGCAGAUCACCAUAUACUGGCUGCCACUAGGAAACAGCAUACCAAAGCAUAUGGUCUGCUUCUCUGACUCACCAAAUUCGUUCAUUUUUAUCAAGUGACUAAUCAAGGUUAAAAUGAAUUUAUGAGUCAUCACCAGGAGAAAAGAACCUACCUUCACUUUUGGGUAUCAGAGUCAAUUUGCACAAAAGGCAACUAGAAUAAGGCAUCUUCCAAUGCAAACUGAACUUCUAACAAGCAAAUUAAAAAGUUACCGUAAAUACUGAUUCUAUAAUGACGCUUUUACAGAAUAUUUUCCCACACUAAACUUGCAUGUUCACCCCCCCAAAAAAAAGCAUAAAUAGAAAAUUAAAUUAUAUAUACCUGAGAAAUUUGAAAAAAGCCUUGUAUAGGUAGAGAAUCUAUGUUUGAGUAACCAUUGUUGAGUUUCCUGGAUUGUGGCUGAAGGAUGAAGCUGCUGUAAGAAACAAGGUUGGAUAUAAUAACUUGAGUAUUAAAAGAAGAAAAA